GAUCCUGGCUCAGGAUGAACGCUAGCUACAGGCUUAACACAUGCAAGUCGAGGGGCAGUAUGGUCUUAGCUUGCUAAGACCGAUGGCGACCGGCGCACGGGUGAGUAACGCGUAUCCAACCUGCCUUACACUCUUGGACGGCCUUCUGAAAGGGAGAUUAAUACAAGAUGUUAUCAUGAGUAAGCAUUUUCGCAUAAUUAAAGGUUUACCGGUGUAAGAUGGGGAUGCGUUCCAUUAGA
rnacentral:rRNA from 1 species